UACAGAGACUGCAAGCGUUAUUCGGAUUCACUGGGCGUAAAGGGUGCGCAGGCGGUCGGGUGUGUCAGAUGUGAAAUCCCGAGGCUCAACCUCGGAACUGCGUCUGAAACUACUCGACUAGAGUACUGGAGAGGGAAACCGGAAGUUCACGGUGUAGCAGUGAAAUGCGUAGAUAUCGUGAGGAACACCAGAGGCGAAGGCGGUUUCCUGGACAGUUACUGACGCUCAGGCACGAAAGCAUGGGGAGCAAAAGGG
rnacentral:rRNA from 1 species